CCUGGCUCAGGAUGAACGCUAGCGGCAGGCCUAAUACAUGCAAGUCGAGCGGCAAGUCGAGGAGUAAUCUGAGACCUAGAGCGGCGCACGGGUGCGUAACGCGUAUGCAACCUACCUCAUACAGGGGGAUAGCCCGGAGAAAUCUGGAUUAAUACCCCAUGGCACUUCGAAGAGGCAUUUCUUUGCAGUUAAAGAUUCAUCGGUAUGAGAUGGGCAUGCGUCUGAUUAGCUAGUUGGCGGUGUAACGGACCACCAAGGCGACGAUCAGUAGGGGUUCUGAGAGGAAGGUCCCCCACACUGGCACUGAGAUACGGGCCAGACUCCUACGGGAGGCAGCAGUAGGGAAUAUUGGGCAAUGGACGAGAGUCUGACCCAGCCAUGCCGCGUGCAGGAAGACGGCGUUCUGCGUUGUAAACUGCUUUUAUCUGGGAAGAAAAGGCCCAUGCGUGGGACAUUGCCGGUACCAGAUGAAUAA
rnacentral:rRNA from 1 species